rnacentral:hammerhead_ribozyme from 1 species
AUCCAGCUGACCAAUCCCAAAUAAAACGAAACAUACGUCCUGCAU